GGGGUGGUUCAUGUUUCUUCUCCUAUUUUAAGGAGAAGGAAUAUUGCUUUGCAUGCAAUAGGUCCCAGGUUCAAACCCUGGCUACUUUG